UACACUUACUUCUGUAAAUCGCUCUGGAUAAGAGCAUCUGCUAAAUGGUUAAAA
rfam:Salmo salar isolate Sally breed double haploid chromosome ssa10, whole genome shotgun sequence.